rnacentral:rRNA from 1 species
GGGCCUCUUGCCAUCGGAUGUGCCCAGAUGGGAUUAGCUAGUAGGUGGGGUAACGGCUCACCUAGGCGACGAUCCCUAGCUGGUCUGAGAGGAUGACCAGCCACACUGGAACUGAGACACGGUCCAGACUCCUACGGGAGGCAGCAGUGGGGAAUAUUGCACAAUGGGCGCAAGCCUGAUGCAGCCAUGCCGCGUGUAUGAAGAAGGCCUUCGGGUUGUAAAGUACUUUCAGCGGGGAGGAAGGGAGUAAAGUUAAUAC